AUAAUAAUUUCAUAUCAAUUUAACAUUCUUACUCAAGAUAUCAAACUCAAUGUAUAAUUAAAAUAUGAUUUAUAUACUUAUCCGAGAUUUAUACAAGCUUGCACAAGUUUCCUAGGUGAUCUAAAGUUGUUUAUGGACUAAAUUGUAAAGUUUCGAACUAAUUGAGUGCUCGUCGCGACUUCUAAGAUACCACGUCUCGACGUCACUCUCCGACUAAGCUUGUGGCUACUUCAAGAGUACCACGUUGCAACGUCGCUCACUGAAUAGGCUCGUCGUGACUUCAUGAACCCGACGUCGCGACGUGAGUUCUAUCACCUUGAAUCUUAUGCAUUUUGAUUCACAACUCCUAAAUCAAUGCUCAUGUGGUACCUAUCACCCAAUUCAACCGAUAUUCCAUUCAUUUAUGCCAAUUUCCAACAUUGAGCAUCACUUAAUUCAACUUAAUACAAAAUUGAACAUAACCAAGUUUACAAAAUUAUCAAGGAAGAUCAAAACUAUCAUAUGCUUCCCUUAGAAUUCUUCCAUAGACAUGCUUAGAAUAUCCUAUGUACAUGCCAUGAGCUAAAACCAAACAUCAAAAUCAUACUCUCUUCCAAACUUCAUUUUGUGAUGAGAUGAGUCAGAAUUGACCUUCGCUCUAGAGAUUCAAAUCAAAUCUUUACCUACGCAUUAGAAGAAUAGCGCGUUAAGUCCGUGAAAGCUUAAUAAGUACAUCAAAAUUUAAAAUUUUCAUUUAAAACUUAUUCAUUACUAAAGGAUGCAACUUAUGAGGCAUUACCAUCAUACUUGAACUUAUUAAAAUAAUAACUAUAAUAAGGUAUCGAAAUAACGAUCAUAAGUCACUUACCAUUUUCAUUAUUAAAUUUACUUACCUUGAAAAUCUAUUGCCCAAUUGUAGACUCAAUAAAACAUAUAGGAUAUGCAAAAAAAAAUCGAUAAUUCGCACCAGAGUGCCACUGUUAUUCGUACGAGCAUGCUAUUGUCAUUUACACCAGAGUGCCACUAUCACUUGCACCGUAAUGUCACUAUCAUUUGUGCACAUAAAAAAUUUCCUAACGGCAUGUCAUUUAUAUCCUACUAGUUCUCAUUUUACCUACAUGGGCAUUUAAAUAUAUAAUUUCACUACAUUUUCUCAACAAAUAAAAAUAAUUCAAACUUUACUCAGUUUACAAUUUAGUCAUUAUCUAUAUAGAUUCAACAAUCAUCAAAUUCAACUUGACAUUUAUUUCAUCAACAGUUAACACUUCACUUAAAUGUUUUAUCUUAUUAUCUAUUUUACCUAUCUAACCUUUUACACUCUUACAAUUUAGUCCUUUUUCUCCAAAUUCACUACACAUAACUAUUCAAUUUAUUAUAAAAGUACAUCUUCACUUUCAAAUAAAUUCCAUAAUACAUAUCAUCAUUUUCAUAUUCAAAUAAAUCCCAUGAAUAUUACUACACCAUUUAGUCAAAUUUUCAUUUAGGGUUUAAAUAGAUAAAGUAAAAUUCUUGAGCUACUUACUAUGAAAUGCUUGGAAUGGCCCUUUUUUCUUCCUUCACUCUUUUGUUGCUUCUUUACCUUUAUCACCAACUUGAUGUUCACUUUUCUUCUUUCUCUUUAUCAACAUAGCACACAUACACAAUAUUUAAUAUCAAAAUAAUAAUCACAUACUAUUUCCAUGCAUUUUUAUGAACUACGCAUGAAAUCCUUAAGAAAACUUCAUCAUCCUUACCUUAACAUUUCUCAAAUCCCUAACUUCACAAAAAAAAAAAAAAAACUUGUCAUGGAGUUAUUCUUUUAAUUUCACUAAAAAUUUAUGGAAGAAAUUUGAAGUUUUGAGCUUGAGGGGGUGAAAAUCAUAGAAAGGGACUAAAAUGAAAGAAAACAAAAAUUAAUUAGAGAAGAAGAUGAGAGAGACG
rnacentral:lncRNA from 1 species